GGAGAGGUGGCAGAGUGGUUAAUUGCGGUGGUCUUGAAAACCAUUGAGAGUAACAUCUCCGGGGGUUCGAAUCCCUCCUUCUCCG
rnacentral:tRNA from 1 species